CAGAAUGCUGUCCACUCUGAUAAAGGCUUGCUAAGUGAGAUCUUCAUUCGAUGUGUUCAGUGAUGGAAGAGGAUGUGGGAACCAUGUCUUCAGCGGGUUUUAUGUCCAUUCCAUGUUCAUCCCUGUCAGAGCAAAAAGAAGUUCAAAGAAUGGCUGUUGACUCUGAGGAGCUUGGGAUUUCAGGAGAGAGAUAAAGAAGGCCCAUGUGAGGGGCUGCAUUCCAGUGCCACGUGAUGAACAGAUUACAUCCCAAGAAGAUGUGGUUACCAACCUUGCACACCAAAACAAGAGCAAUCCAGACAUCAGAGUACCGGGAAGCACAGAAGUGUGAGCUGGUCAGAGAGCAGGACACGUCUCUCCCUGUCACCUAGGAGGUACACAGAGUCAGGACGGAGGGAACCCACAAUUACCAGGAACACACAGGAGAUCUUUGGGGACAUCUGGAGCAUGAACUCUUCUACAGCAUGUGAUUUCGCCCUUAAUACGUAAAAACUAUAACAUUUAGGUGACUCGGUUAUAAUCUAAGUGAAUGUGGCUAUGGGUGAAAGAAAAGAUGAUAAAGUCCAGCUGACGUGUGGAUGCUUGGUGAUGGUGGGGCUUACUCCUCAGUUAUUGUUUUGCUACCUCAGUGACUCAUAUUAGUACAUCAGCAAAAUUAUGAAUUAUUUCACAUCUUGUUUCUGCUAUUUUUUAACAGGUGAAACUGUACAUAUUAAAUCUGCAAAGUCAAGAUUUCACUGUAUACCUCAGCCCCUUGUGAGGCUGGAAACUUAUACUUCCCAUUAUUUUAACCUAUGUACUAGGCACAGUUGAGCCCUUUCCCUGCGUUGUUUCCCUUCAUCUAAGCCACAGCCCUAGGAAAUAAGAAGCACUAUCAUCAUUACUUUACCUAUGAGGAAACAGAUACUUCAAGAGGUUUAAAUGACUUUCCCAAGGUCACAUGGCUGGUAAGUGGAAUUUGAAGGAGGGCUGACUGACUCCAAAGACCACUUCAAAAUACCACUUUUACUUCUCAAUAACUAGGGGAAGUCAACUUCCUGUGGUUGAAAGUUCUCAUUGUUGAUCAUGUGAAAGCAGAGAUAACUCCUGGGCAGUUCUCAUGUUCCAACAUCUCAGUGGAUGCUGUUGGAAGACAAGUGGAGCAGGGGCAGUGGCUGUGGUAGCAUACUUUGCAGACAAGGGGCAAGGCACUCACCACAGCCACAGCUCCCGACUCUCCCUGCUUUUGGGGUCAUUUAUCUUCUUGUUGGGAGAAUGAACACAGAGUGAGUACCACUGGGAGAAUGACCUCAGUGUACCCACAGAAGCCUAUCUUCCCAGUUUGGAAAGUAGAUUAUCCAGGGAUUGGGCCCCUCACCGUCAUACUGACACCGAGAAUCUGGAGGCACUGGAUGGGAUCAGUCAGCACCCACGUCACAAGCAGGAUCACAUCAGCUAUCACCAGGGCUGCCACUAACCCCAGUAGCUGCAGGUCUUUGAUUAUCUGCAAAAGAGUCAGGGUCAUACAUUUCCUUGGCUUGCUGGCUAAAUGACACAGCGCCUAGAGUAUGCUAGGUCCUCUGAGGUUCCAGGGUCAGCCCUCCCAAGGGGCUUCACAUCCAGCCAUCAAAGAUGAAACACACACUACAGGUGUGCAAUGGUGUCUAUGUCCAUGUCAUCACCAUCACCACCACCACUAAACUUUUUAUUUGUUUAUCUGUCCCAUAUCCUGCCUUUUCUCACAAAGGAUUAAGGAGUCUUAUAAAAUGAACAUACUAUUAUUUCUAGAUAUGUGCAUAAUGAGCGUAUAGAGAUAUUAAUGCUUUCACAUAAAACUGUUAAAAACCAUUAACUUAGAGGGUGAGAUUGAAAGAUGAGGGUGGUGGAAGAGAGAUUACUAGCAUUUUCUUUAUACAUAUAUGAAUCAUUUGACUUAAUAGAAAGAGGCUGUGUUACUUUUGUAACUACAGAAAUAAAAUUAAAAAAUAUAUACUAUGAAAGGAUGAAAAGUUGAAAAAAAUCAAGGAAAAGAAAGAAAUCAGGAGAAUCAGGAUGAAAGGUCAGAAGAAGAGAGUACACAGCCCUCAUGAAUUGAGGGAGAAAUGUGGAUCUGAGUUUUGGUGACCAUUGAAAAGAAGAGGGCGUAACUAGUUACAUGAUUCCGGUGUCUGUAAGAUAAAAACGCAUCAGUCAUCAGCUGCUUCACCAAACUGCUUAAAACCAAUGAUAAUAAAAAAAUCUUCAAAUCAACCAGCAAAAAGGCACAUUAUCUGUAGAGGAACAAAGACAAGGAUGACAUCAGAUUUCUUAUCAGAGAAGGCCACGUGAGAAGACAGCAGAAUGAAAACUUCCAGAUACUAAAAAAAGAAAAGAAAGCCUCAACCUGUAAUUCUAUAUCCAGCAAAAGUAGCUUUCAGAAACAAAGGGGAAAUAAAGACUUUUCAGAUAAACAAAAGCUGGAAGAAUUCAGCAUUAGCACACCUGCAUGAGAAUGUUAAUAUCUUUAAAGCAAAAGGAAAAUGAUAUCAGAUGAAAAUAUGGAUCUAUACAAGGAAUAUUACCUUUGUGGAAAAAUACAUGUUGAUUUUAAUUAUUUAAAUAUCUUUAAAAGAUAAAUGUUUAUCAUAGACCUGUACCCCUGGGGCUACUAAUACACUAUAUGUUUAUAAAAAAAUAAAAAAAUUAUUUAAAAAAAGA